AUUGAACGCUGGCGGCAGGCCUAACACAUGCAAGUCGAGCGGACCUUUCGGGGUCAGCGGCGGACGGGUGAGUAACGCGUGGGAAUAUGCCCUUUGCUACGGAAUAGUCCUGGGAAACUGGGGGUAAUACCGUAUACGCCCUUUGGGGGAAAGAUUUAUCGGCGAAGGAUUAGCCCGCGUUGGAUUAGGUAGUUGGUGGGGUAAUGGCCUACCAAGCCGACGAUCCAUAGCUGGUUUGAGAGGAUGAUCAGCCACACUGGGACUGAGACACGGCCCAGACUCCUACGGGCGGCAGCAGUGGGGAAUCUUAGACAAUGGGGGCAACCCUGAUCUAGCCAUGCCGCGUGAGUGAUGAAGGCCUUGGGGUUGUAAAGCUCUUUCAGCUGGGAAGAUAAUGACGGUACCAGCAGAAGAAGCCCCGGCUAACUCCGUGCCAGCCGCCGCGGUAA
rnacentral:rRNA from 1 species